GUUGCUUGGUCGCCAAUAAAGUUGAGCGUGCCCUAGCGAACACACACAUGUACAUUUUCAGCAACACAUCUACCCACACACAGCGUGCGUUUACCGUUCCUGGCAAAGUCAUAGUGGCAAACAAAUACAUUCUCGAACCAACAUACAUACAUAUAUGCCAAAUAUACAAAUUCCAGAACGAAGCAUAUAAAACUGGAUAAAAUAUUGGAGGUUCCUGUUGAGAAUAAAACCCAUACUCGGCGUAAGAAUGUGAAAACUUUCGAUGGAGCUGAGCUUUUGAAAGCAUGGCCAAAAUAUGCUGACUCGCGGGCUCCGGAAUUGGUCCAAAUCUUUAACCAUUCAUAUUUUGAUUGAUCUCUUUAAAACGAAAUCUAUAAUUUUCUUUUUCAUCUUACUAUUUAUUUCGCAGAUAACUUACAAAACUAAUUAGUGUUUAGCUAUUAAGAUUGGUAAUACUCUAAGAUUGUUUAAAGUACUUUCUUUCGUUUAUGAAUUGACAACUGUGUAUGUAGCGUGUAAUGCUAUAGAAGUUAAAACAUGCAACCAUUUGCAGGCAUAUGAAUGUGGAAUAAUUAAAAAUUAGUUCUUAAAAAACAUUGAAGAGUUUUCAAGCCAUCCAAUGCACAUGUAUGUAUGUAUGAUGUAAAUGCUAAAAAAUAUGUUUUAUACAGAUCUCUGUAAAAUAAAUAUAAGUGUAACUGUAUUAUUUGUACCUUCCAGCAAGCCGUAAUGAAGAAUAAAUGUUUAAA